CCACAACUACAACCGCUCAAAGUAAGUUUUAAGUGUCUGUUAUUGAUCGCUUACAAUGGCGAGUCUAAGUCUAAUG
rfam:Vagococcus lutrae LBD1 adhBo-supercont1.10, whole genome shotgun sequence.